CCCUCCCUCCCAGACCCUUCCACCUCCUGGACAGCAUUCAUUUUACAUUCAUUGUGAAGCUGCAUUCUUAGUGAGCUGUCCAGGAGGUGGGAGGUUCUGGGAGGGAGGG
rnacentral:miRNA from 1 species